ACGCAGGAGGUGGACCAACGGUCAGAGGAUGCAGCAGCCGGGAACAGAUAACAGCAGACCACCGGAGCAGGAACCUACACACCCCUUUAAAGUCGGAGACAGAGUCGUGGUGAAGGUGCUCCCCAGGAACAAGAGCCCAGGAGACUUCACCUAUGGUCCAGAGACAGAGGUCGUAGCAGUUACCCGAACAGCAGUCCUGACAGAGGAAAGUCCUACCUGGAUCCAUGCAUCCCGAGUAAAAAAAAAGGUUCCUAGACCAGACCUAGAGAGGGAAGCAAGUGAUUCCAGUGAGGUACGAACCGGGGCAGACAGCCCUGACCUCCCACCUAGCGAAGAAAGAAGAACAGAAGAAGAUGAGGAACCUGUCCCCUAUCUUUAUCCUGGGGACUACCUUGAUAGCCCUACUGGCCCUCACUCACCACACUUACUAACCCUACCUUUGAAGACACCCUAGCUAUUGAAACUGGUUUCUCUGACAUUAAUUUUUGGUUGGAAUGGAUGAAGUAUAGUGCUAACAAACACAAUAAAAGCAACUGUUAUGUCUGUGGCAAAUCUAGGCCCCACCUAGGUACAGUGCCCCUUAAUAUACCCCUAGAACAAGAAAAUUGUUUUUUUUUUCAGCCUUUUUAAUGACACCAAAACAAAUGACAGUCAGUGCGAAAUGUGGAAAAGGGAAUAUCCCAUAUUGUCAAAAAAUCCCAACCCAGGAAGCACCAUAACCAUAUAUCCUGGAAACUACACUUGUUAUACAUCUAACACCACAACAGGGAGAAAUUUAAAAACCUUCCCACCAGGGUAUUGUGCAAAUAAAAGAACAACUGUUUUAGUCAACCAAACUAGAUCAUUAGGCGACAUUUAUUACAUAUGUGGGAAACUGUAAAUAAAAACGUAGCCUGGAUUAAUUAUAUAUAUUAUAAUCAACAAAGAUUUGUUAAUGAUACCAAAGAUGCUCUUAAAGGUAUAGCUGAACAGCUAGAAGCCACUUCCCAAAUGACAUUCCAAAAUAGAAUGGCCCUUGACAUGAUCCUAGCAGAAAAAGGCGGUACAUGUGUUUACAUUAGUAAGGUGGAAGGCUGUUGUACAUAUAUUCCUGACAACACUGGUCCCAAUGGUAAGGUUACUUUAGCCAUAAACAAGUUAGAAACCUUAUCCAUAGAACUUAAGAAAAAUUCAGGUAUUGAUAACCCAUGGAGCCAAUAUUUUGGGUGGUUUGAAAAUUGGAAACAGGCUCUUGUGCAAAUAAGCAUAUUUAAACUCAUAACUUUAAUUCUUUUAGGCAUUAUAGUUUAUUGUGUAAUUCCCUGUGGAAAGAAACUUACCUCCAAAGGCAUUGAUAAGGCCCUGAUGUAUUAUGACAUAACCACCAGUCCUGUCACCUCCUCUGAUAGUAAGGGACCCGACGAUUAUGUCCAAUAUCUCAAGAACUGGAGGAACAAGAAAGGAGCCUCACUCAAGAAUCAUGUCAUAUAAUAAUCAUGAUUCUAAGAGGGGAUUGAAGGGUUACCUCUUCUGUCUUUGUACAUAUUACUUUUUAUAUGAUCAGUUUCCUUAUAAUAAUUACAGUGUAAAAGUGAAUAUUUCUAUUUCCCUAGUGAAGGGUUAAAACAUGCUUUAUGAACUCUUAUGUGUUUGCAAUGGAUGCUGCUGCCCUGUGUUAGAUGCCUUUGUCUCUCAUACAGAUACCAGGCUUGUGUGGGUCUGGCAUCCAAGGUCAGCUCUCUACUAGAUGAAACCUGCUUUUUCUACUUCUGUGUGUUACUAAAAGAUCCUUUGUUAAGUUUCGCCUGAUGUAACAUAUAUAACAUCUGCCUGGCAACUGCUAUAUCCAAUUAUGUUAUGUCAAGUAUUAACCACCCCUACGUACCCCACCCAGGCACCUACCCCUAAGCCAAUGAGCCCUUUUACACUUGUCAGUUCCACCCAUAUGCAUUGUCUUAUAUACUCUUGUUAACUUUAUAAUAAACAGUGUGAAUUUUAA